UGCGUAGGUGGGCAGGUAAGUCAGUGGUGAAAUCUCCGAGCUUAACUCGGAAACUGCCAUUGAUACUAUCUGUCUUGAAUAUCCUGGAGGUGAGCGGAAUAUGUCAUGUAGCGGUGAAAUGCUUAGAUAUGACAUAGAACACCAAUUGCGAAGGCAGCUCACUACGGGAUUAUUGACACUGAGGCACGAAAGCGUGGGGAUCAAACAGGAUUAGAUACCCUGGUAGUCCACGCCCUAAACGAUGGAUACUCGACAUACGCGAUACACUGUGUGUGUCUGAGCGAAAGCAUUAAGUAUCCCACCUGGGAAGUACGAUCGCAAGAUUGAA
rnacentral:rRNA from 1 species